CCUACGGGAGGCAGCAGUGAGGAAUAUUGGUCAAUGGAGGCCACUCUGACCCAGCCACGCCGCGUGGAGGAUGAAGGUGCUAUGCAUCGUAACUUCUUUUGUCAAGGGAGAAAGUGCUUGAUUUAUCGAGUUUUGACGGUACUUGGCGAAUAAGCAUCGGCUAACUACGUGCCAGCAGCCGCGGUAAUACGUAGGAUGCAAGCGUUAUCCGGAAUCACUGGGUUUAAAGGGUCUGUAGGCGGUAUCAUAAGUCAGUGGUGAAAUAUCUGGGCUUAACUUGGAGGGUGCCAUUGAUACUGUAGUACUUGAGAUAGAAUGACGUGGGCGGAAUGUGUCAUGUAGCGGUGAAAUGCUUAGAGAUGACACAGAACACCGAUUGCGAAGGCAGCUCACGAAGCCUUAUCUGACGCUGAGGGACGAAAGCGUGGGGAGCAAACAGGAUUAGAUACCCUGGUAGUCCACGCCCUAAACUAUGUUUACUCGACAUUUGUUUUUAAUAAGUGUCUAACGCGAAAGCGUUAAGUAAACCACCUGGGGAGUACGUUCGCAAGAAUGAAACUCAAAUGAAUUGACGG
rnacentral:rRNA from 1 species